rnacentral:rRNA from 1 species
CCUACGGGACGCAGCAGUGAGGAAUAUUGGUCAAUGGGCGGGAGCCUGAACCAGCCAAGUCGCGUGAGGGAAGACGGUCCUAUGGAUUGUAAACCUCUUUAGGCGGGGAGCAAUGCCGGGCACGUGUGCCCGGAGGGAGAGUACCCGCAGAAUAAGCAUCGGCUAACUCCGUGCCAGCAGCCGCGGUAAUACGGAGGAUGCGAGCGUUAUCCGGAUUUAUUGGGUUUAAAGGGUGCGUAGGCGGUAUUUUAAGUUAGUGGUAAAACGUCGGGGCUUCACCUUGAUUGGCCAUUAAAACUGGAGUA